GGCAGGGUGGCUGCAGAGUGGGAUGCAAGGUCCUCACCCAGAGGCUCCCUGGGGCCCACUUGCCCCAGGCUCAUGAGAGCUGGGUUCUGAGAUCUGCCAGGACUGGGGCUCAGUGCUGUCCAUCGAAACAGGAACUCAUCUGGAGUGUAUGUGCAGGUCACAGAGGUUACCGUGGUGCAGUCAGUCAGCCUAAAAGACCUUACGGACUUCGGAAGGAAGAGAAAGGGAGAAGGCAGGCCCUGUGUCUACAGCAGCACAACCAAAGGCUCUGAGACAGGAAAGCAUCCCCUGGCUCUGAGAACACGGCUCCUUAUGCACCAGAAAUGAGAACAGAAUGACAAGUGAUGGGUCUUGGGUAUUCCAUGAAGAAUGCAGAGUUUAUUUUGUAGACUGUGGGGAGCCCUGAAAAUUUUUGAGGAGGUAAAUAGCAGGAUAUGACCUGUGUUUUGGAAGCACAGGUUUGGUGACACCAUGAGAGGAUUGGAGGGGGCAAGACUGGAGCAGAAAGGCCAGUUCAGGUGAGAGGGGAUGGGAACAGCUGGGAGUCAAGAGAGGUGAUGGAUGUUGCGAUGAUGGACUCAACAGGUCUUGGUAAAUAAGGGCCAUGCAGAUGGGGUGGGGGUCUAGGAUGAUGCCCAAGCAGCUCAUUAGGAAGUCUUGGGGGCUGAAGGGGCUGUUACAGAGAUUGGAGUCAGGAUUGGGGGAGCAGCAGGCAUGAGCGAGGUGAUAAGUUUGUGUUUGGACACAGUGAGUUGGAGGAGGCCAUGGGCCAUUCAGGCCAUUACCAGCAAGCUGUGUGGGACUCAAUCCCAGUGAUCUGUUGGGGUUAUUUGCUUGGGGUUCCCUGUUCCCCCCUAGAUUGAGGCACUGUUGAAUGGACAUCCCACUCCUGAGUGUUGGUCAUGGAGG
rnacentral:lncRNA from 13 species